UUAACUUUGACCUGACCUGACCUGAGUUUUCAGGUCAUGACCUGAAAUAACCCGAAAUGACCUGAUGGCCUGAAAUUGAAUUUCCGAAAAAAUCGGCGUUUGCUAUAAUUCUCUUUUCAAUUGGCUCUUGAACAGUCUUACAUCCUACCGAGCUAAGAGGGUGAAUUUCCUUUCCUCAGUCGCAUGACUCGUGUUUCUUGUCCUUUCAAAAAAAUCAGUUUCUGUAGAACUUGACAAUUCGGCUGGAGCUGAUAUACUGACGCUGACUAGAUGUUCCAUCGAGCAAAAAAUCAUUCAAGCUUCGCUAUGUUCACCCUCAUAACUCAUUUUUACCCACAUAAUUGCCAUUACAAUGUAGAGACUUUUGAUUUUUGUCUGCGGUUUUGACGUUAACAUUUAUCAACGGACCGAUUAGAGUUAAGUGAUGAGAGUGCAAUUUCUGAAAUGUACUCUGAUAGUGAACAUGCACUUUAGAAUUAUAGGUUGGCACAUAGGUGGCUCCUGGUUCUGAGCCCACAAAUUAUGGCUCUGAAUAAGUUAUUUCGGUUCAAAACAAUUAUUUAACCUAAUCUGGUUAGCUGAUAAAACCUUUCAGUCCUAGAAGUUACUUAUUGACCCCAUAUAAAAUGUAAAAUAUGCGAAGUGUAGCUAAUGAUCCAAGUGAAGAUUGUACGACUCUCCGUACCUUUGGUUUUGUUUGUAAAGAAACUAUAAGCGUCCGCUAAGACAACAAAAACCUAGUAGCAGGCCUUAUCAGGAAUCAAUUGUUUUUUAGAUUUUAUAUUAACAAAACUAAUU